rnacentral:rRNA from 1 species
GAUGAACGCUGGCGGCGUGCUUAACACAUGCAAGUCGAACGGGAAACCUUUUAAUGAAGCUUCGGCAGAUUUAGCUGGUUUCUAGUGGCGGACGGGUGAGUAACGCGUGGGUAACCUGCCUUAUACAGGGGGAUAACAGUCAGAAAUGACUGCUAAUACCGCAUAAGCGCACAGGACCGCAUGGUCCGGUGUGAAAAACUCCGGUGGUAUAAGAUGGACCCGCGUUGGAUUAGCUUGUUGGCGGGGUAACGGCUCACCAAGGCGACGAUCCAUAGCCGGCCUGAGAGGGUGAACGGCCACAUUGGGACUGAGACACGGCCCAGACUCCUACGGGAGGCAGCAGUGGGGAAUAUUGCACAAUGGGGGAAACCCUGAUGCAGCGACGCCGCGUGAAGGAAGAAGUAUCUCGGUAUGUAAACUUCUAUCAGCAGGGAAGAUAGUGACGGUACCUGACUAAGAAGCCCCGGCUAACUACGUG